rnacentral:rRNA from 1 species
UACGUAGGGGGCGAGCGUUGUCCGGAUUUAUUGGGCGUAAAGCGUGCGUAGGCGGCUGCGCAAGUCGGUUGUGAAACCCCGGGGCUCAACCCCGGAACUGCAUCCGAUACUGCGUGGCUAGAGGUAGGUAGGGGAGAUCGGAAUUCCUGGUGUAGCGGUGAAAUGCGCAGAUAUCAGGAGGAACACCGGUGGCGAAGGCGCCACUCUGGGCCGAAACUGACGCUGAGGAGCGAAAGCGUGGGUAGCAAACAGG